CUGCUGCCUCCCGUAGGAGUCUGGUCCGUGUCUCAGUACCAGUGUGGGGGGCCUUCCUCUCAGAACCCCUACGCAUCGUCGGU
rnacentral:rRNA from 1 species